AAAAUAAUAAUAAAUAAAGUCCUCAGCAAAUUUCUAUUGAAGAAAAAGGAAUAGAAAUAUCUGUUUAUACGUUCCAGCGUCAGAGGACGACGUUGGUACAAAGAGCUAAAACUGGUGUCGUAUCAUAGACUUUUCGAGCUCCUGUUUUGAAUUGAAAUGGUAAAGUAUGUCGAGGGGAGCAAGCCGUCUUGCUUCACAGGGGAGACAGAUCAGGCAUUGCAUUUGUGCAUGGGAACAUCUUUUACGGAAAGUUAUGGAUUCAAAAAGCAAAUGGUUUCUCAUCUGGAUAGACAUGUGGUCAAUCCUUUCACAACACUGUCCAUUUAGAUGUGAACACUUUGAAACCUCUAUCGAUUUUGCCUAGUGGCAGACGACUUAUUUCAUCAAUGUCGCUGAGUCGCUGUGAGAAGUCUAGCAAAGUUUACCCUCAACAAAGAUGUAGAGCAAGAUUUGGAUGCUAUUCGCUUCCAAGUCCAUUGCCCGGAGGAUGGCUCAAGCCAAAUGACAAGGAUAGGAUAGGGAAAAAAAAGGAUUCGCGCUUACUAUAAAUCUGAGGAGUUUGACAUAACAGAAGCGAAGGUGGACUCUUUGUCAUCUCCAGAUGGAACUAAUGAAGCUGUUCUCGUUGGCGGAAGCAUGCAGGAAGGGGUCCCUUUCUGGCAGAAUUUUCCAAAGCGCUGGGUUUUUAUAUUUCUUUGUUUUGCAUCAUUCCUGUUAUGCAAUAUGGGCCGUGUCAAGAUGAGCAUUGCAAUACUCCCAUGUCAAAAGAGUUUAACUUGAACAGUGCAACAGU